GUGGGGAAUCUUGCGCAAUGGGCGAACGCCUGACGCAGCAACGCCGCGUGCGGGAUGAAGGCCUUCGGGUUGUAAACCGCUUUCAGCAGGGACGAAAAUGACGGUACCUGCAGAAGAAGCUCCGGCUAACUACGUGCCAGCAGCCGCGGUAAUACGUAGGGAGCAAGCGUUGUCCGGAUUUAUUGGGCGUAAAGAGCUCGUAGGCGGUUUCGUAAGUCGAGUGUGAAAAAUCUGGGCUUAACCCAGUGGAGCACUCGAUACUGCGAUGACUUGAGUCUGGUAGAGGAGUGUGGAAUUCCUGGUGUAGCGGUGAAAUGCGCAGAUUUCAGGAGGAACACCAACGGCGAAGGCAGCACUCUGGGCCAGUACUGACGCUGAGGAGCGAAAGCGUGGGGAGCAAACAGGAUUAGAUACCCUUGUAGUCC
rnacentral:rRNA from 1 species